UACGAGGGGGGCAAGCGUUGUUCGGAAUUAUUGGGCGUAAAGGGUGCGUAGGCGGUUUGGUAAGUCUUAUGUGAAAUCUACAGGCUCAACUUGUAGUCUGCAUGAGAAACUGCCGGGCUUGAGUAUGGGAGAGGUGAGUGGAAUUCCGGGUGUAGUGGUGAAAUGCGUAGAGAUCCGGAGGAACACCAGUGGCGAAGGCGGCCGCCUGGACCUGACC
rnacentral:rRNA from 1 species